CUAGAUUUAGUGAUGAGAUCUUGGAAUUAUUUGGCUUUUUGGCUUUUUAUGAUCUCCCUUAUACUCACUUAUACUACUGGCGCUUUGAGAAUUUUUAAAGGUUAAUGCACCACUAAGAUUAGAACACGUUUCCUUAAAAUACCUAUUCAUACAUUUACUCAAGGGAAGCAACUUUGUGUUUUUCUCAUUGGAGAAUUUUAUUCACUUUGAAACAAGAUGUGGUUAUAUCAAGAAGACUUAAAACACAAGAGUUUGCUUUCAUGUACAAGAAUCAACAAAAUAAGAGGAGACAAUGAAAAUUUUUGUGUCAUGAUUUUUUCAAUAAAAGUUAGCUACUUAACUAUGCCUUUUACAAUAAAACAGAACAAAAGAAUAAAGUUCAAGGGAGUUUGGAAACACUACGACUACUGACACUUUAUUAGGCUCCCCCCACACUUAGGAGAAGCAUUGUCCUCAAUGAUUCAAGAGAAAAGAAAAAUAAAAGAGAAGUAGAGGUAGAAGAAGAAGAAGCAGAAGAAGAAGGAGAAGGAUAAGAAGGGAAGAGUGGAAGAUGAAAGCUCACAUUUUUAUCAUUGAGGUCCAUAUGGAGGACCUUGGAGGUGAAAGUGGUGCAUCAUGUUCCGAAGCAUUUGGUUAUUUUCUUCGGAUAUGCGGUUGCCCCUUUGGACAUCAUGCCUUAUGCUCAUGAGUUCAACACCUUGCCUUUGUUGCUCGGUGUUUAUUCUUUC
rnacentral:lncRNA from 1 species